rnacentral:lncRNA from 1 species
UAAACAAUAAGCUGUUUUCAUAACCUAUCUUGGAGAACUAAUAAAAAUAAGCUAGAAAUAGUUUAUGGACAUGUCAUAAGCAGUUUCUUUAAAUUGUCUCAAACAGACUUAUUAUAUACCAGAAAGACUAUUUCCAGAAAAGACUCUUAUUAUAAGUCAGUCUAUCCAAACAUACUCUUAUUAUAUACCAGAAAGACUAUUUCCUUAUAUCAAUGAAUGGUUGCAAGUAGUAACUUCAAUUAACUCAUCAGAAAUUGACAGAGAUUCGGGAUCACAACAGUUGCAAUGGAAAUUGGAAUUAUCAUAAUAUGAGCCCCGUAUAACCUGCAGCACACUAAACUAAACAAAGAACAGUUCUGCUGAUAUAACAAAAUCCAAUGAGUUCAAAAUUUAACAGAGAACGAGUGCCUAAAAUUGGAUUGUUGCAAGACAUUAAAACUUGCAAAACCUAAAUCAUCAUCAUAUCAUAAUCAAAGACAUAGAGGAACAAAAACCUAAAUCAUCAUCAUAUCAUAAUCAAAGACAUGGAGGAACAAAAACCCUAAAUCUGAUAGAAACAAAAAAAAAACACAUAAAUGAUGUUAAAUAUGUUUUUUUUGGGGGGGUCUAGUUUUGUAUACUUUUAUAAAGUAUAGCUUGUAACAAGAAAAAGAAACUUGAUGAAGUUCAGUUCCAAUCUACCAAAGUAGAGACACAAUGCCACUAAAACUUUAUAUAACUCAAUACUACAACCAUAGUGAUUAAUAACUAAUGAGAAAUUAUUUGAAAUGAAGAUCUCAGAAAAAGAACUAUAGAAUUGACAAGUUUACUUAUUAUUUUUGCACCUUGACAUGAAACAGGGCAAACUAGAUGUACCUGUACUGAACUUUACCUACCACAAAGCCAAAAUCGUCAAGUUGCUUAAUCACACAGAUGUUGUUGCGACUAGUAAGAAUCAAGAUCAAUCAAUUUGAAUAUCGGUAGCAUUAGGAUUAGAUGGAUUUGUAUUGAAAGGAUUUCCGGUAACAUUCU